UGUAGCAUUGCAGAUCAGGCUCUUUUUUCCUACCAUUUCAAUACCUUUGGUCAGAUUUAGCUUAUUUGAUAGUAACAAAGAAUAAAUGGUGUGAAUAUAACAAAUAAUAUGCGGUGGUGACCUAUCAAAACUAUUAAUGUGCAUUUUGCAGUUCCGAUUUUUACAAUUUCUAUUCUUCCCUUCUGAUCCACAGUUUGCUCUUCUAACACAUAAUACUAUAUAUGCACAUGCAGCCCUUUCAGUUGAGCUGAGUCCUGGUAUCCUUGGAAACAUUUUUGAUGAAAUCCAGGUAAGUUCAGCAUGAUAAUCAUUCCAUUUCUGUUAAAUUUGCAGCACCCCCUAAAAACUAUUGCUAUUAGAUCUGAAGACGAUGCACCCUGGUAAUUUAAGCCAAAAAAGCUGGGUAAUGCGUUUGGCAUAUUUUAACUGUGAAUGAGGGACAUCUUGUUAAUCGUUAGCAGGCCCUCUAAAACAUCUCCUUUUUAUUAUUUGCUUUAGCUGUUGGAGAUGUUCUCACCGGUGAAGAUCUAUAUGCUUUUAUGAUGAUUUUGGGCAUACCAAGCUUAAAGAAGAUAUCUCACAAAUGCAUCGUGUCUAGCUUUUUAGCCUUACAAAUUAGAGGUUUUGAUUGAUACAUGCAUAUUAUUGGAAUAUUUGGUGCUUUGAAAAGACUAUGGGUGGAGUCAACAAACUGACUGAAUGUAUGAAAGAAAUCCAAGACUCUUUGUCAGCUUCUCUUGGAGCUUCUGCUAAUUUCAACAAGGUAAUAUUUAAGAUUUAUUACAAUCUUGUAUUUAAUUAUUUUAUCUGAAUCACUUACAUCUAUACUAUUACACACAAAAAACUUGCAUGAUUAAACAGAGGAGGAACUUAAAGAAUUGGAGUGAGCAGUGUGUGUCUGUUAGAUCGAUCUGUAAAUCUUAGUCUACUUGCUGAUUUCAUAGGACUAAUUCACUGGUGCACGGUGAAUGCUCUAGCAUACACAGGUGGAUUUUCCCAUAUAAUUGUAAUAUUAGUCAAGACGUGCAUUGCA